GAAUAUUGGUCAAUGGACGCAAGUCUGAACCAGCCAUGCCGCGUGCAGGAAGACUGCCCUAUGGGUUGUAAACUGCUUUUAUUUGGGAAUAAACCCCUUCUCGUGAGGAGGGCUGAAUGUACCAAAUGAAUAAGCACCGGCUAACUCCGUGCCAGCAGCCGCGGUAAUACGGAGGGUGCAAGCGUUAUCCGGAAUCAUUGGGUUUAACGGGUCCGCAGGCGGACGUAUAAGUCAGUGGUGAAAGCCUACAGCUUAACUGUAGAACUGCCAUUGAUACUGUACGUCUUGAAUUCGGUCGAAGUGGGCGGAAUGUGUCAUGUAGCGGUGAAAUGCAUAGAUAUGACACAGAACACCGAUAGCGAAGGCAGCUCACUAGGCCUGGAUUGACGCUCAUGGACGAAAGCGUGGGGAGCGAACAGG
rnacentral:rRNA from 1 species